UACGUAGGGUGCGAGCGUUGUCCGGAAUUAUUGGGCGUAAAGGGCUCGUAGGCGGUUUGUCGCGUCGGGAGUGAAAACCUCGGGCUUAACUCGGGGCUUGCUUUCGAUACGGGCAGACUGGAGGUAUGCAGGGGAGAACGGAAUUCCUGGUGUAGCGGUGAAAUGCGCAGAUAUCAGGAGGAACACCGGUGGCGAAGGCGGGUCUCUGGGCAGUAACUGACGCUGAGGAGCGAAAGCGUGGGGAGCGAGCAGG
rnacentral:rRNA from 1 species